AGAUCAGCCCUGGGGUUCAGAGGGAUCCUGACGGCUACUCCUCAAGAUCCUCUCUGUUGUGAUUCAUCCCCCCCGGGCCCUACAGUUUCUCCUUCCUGACUCUUACAUUUCUUUGGAUGGCAUCAUUAUUUACCUGUCUCCUCCCAUAGUUAGGUGCCAAGCACUGUGGAUUCUGCCCCUCAGUGUCCAGACACCCAUUUUCCUUCCCACUGUUCCUUCCCCAUGGAGAAGCCUGUGGCUGGCUGACAGCAGAGAGAGAUGCUCAACUUGGAGAAGGUGUUACCUGGGCCAGGUGGGGAAGGUUUGUUUGCAGAGCAAAGAAGUGAAGCCACCUCAAGAAAGAACAGUUCAUGUGCAGGUGACCAUGUAGUUCAAGUCAUCAUUAAAUCCAAAGCUGAGCAGCCAUGAUGCUAUUGGUGGAAUUGCCCUUGACCAAGAGAAAUCCAUCUUGAUUGUCUCAAUAAUCGGCUCAAGGGCCAUUGAUGAUGAGGUCCUAAAUUUAAUUCCUAAUAAAACCCCUAAAGUUUUAGAGGCAAAAUGAGAAAGCAUAGCUCACAAAUGCCUUGUGACCAAUGACUUGCCUAUUCAACGUGAAAAAGAUGAGGAUGAAGACCUUUAUUAUGAUCCACUUCCAAGUAAUGAACACACUGGAGAAAGUCAGACAGU
rnacentral:antisense_RNA from 1 species